rnacentral:rRNA from 1 species
UACAGAGGGUGCGAGCGUUGUCCGGAAUCACUGGGCGUAAAGGGCGCGUAGGUGGCGACCCAAGUCUGUGGUGAAAGCUCGCCGCUCAACGGCGCGUCGGCCACGGAUACUGGGUUGCUCGAGCACUGUAGAGGCAGAUGGAAUUCCGGGUGUAGCGGUGGAAUGCGUAGAGAUCCGGAAGAACACCGGUGGCGAAGGCGGUCUGCUGGGCAGUAGCUGACACUGAGGCGCGACAGCGUGGGGAGCAAACAGG